rnacentral:lncRNA from 1 species
CCCCCCCCCGCCAUCGUGUUUGUGAACACACUCAGAGACAACGAUGUCUUUCUCCAGCUGAGCUCAACUCCGAAUGAGCAACCCAACCUGAAAAGACACCUACAUUUUUUAAACUUUCUUUCGAAUCCACCUGACUCUUGAGUUUCAGGAAAUCAAUGCUGACGGAGAAAAUCUGCAUCCACGUUGUGUGAUAAAACCAUGAAGCUGGAGGAGCUAGUUUAUAAUUCUGAACUCAUCCCAUCCUGGUGUGAGCUCCUUCCAUGAUCUGCACUCAUUUUAUUGAAGGGAGAGUAAGUUCAGAGGUCGUCAGCACCAGAAACUAGAGCAGUAACAGCAGCAACCAGACAAGGCAGCCUUCCUUUGACAGCAGAACUCGAGGGACUUGCUCAAAUCCAGGGAGGCACAGGUGUGCAGAGACGAAAUGGGAUGGUGAUGCAGCCUGUGGCUUGGGAGUCGGACAGACAAAGGAAGGUGAUGAUGGCAGGCGUGGAAGUUGCAGAGAAGGAGAAAGGAGAGCCAGAUUGUGGGCUGGAACAAAGACAAUGAGGAAGGAGGUCAAUUCGAGGCAGAUAACAGACCGAAGGGAGCUUCCCCAAGGCCUAGUGCAACGCUGGAGGAAAUACUAGCCAACUCGAGUCAUGGGUGCUGAGUACGCAAAUGGAUGGUGGUGGGGUGGCUGCCAGGGGUCACGAGCAUAAAGGAGGA